ACCAGUGUAGCUCAGUGGUAGAGCGUGGGCCUCAUAUGCCUAAGGUCGUGAGUUCGAGCCUCACCAUCUGGUACCA
rnacentral:tRNA from 1 species